ACCUGGCUGGCUCAGGGGGUAGAGCAUGUGACUCUUAAUCUCAAGGUUGUGGGUUUGAGCCCCAUGCUGGGUG